rnacentral:rRNA from 1 species
AUACAUGCAAGUCGAACGAAGUCUUCGGACUUAGUGGCGCACGGGUGAGUAACAUGUGGGAAUCUACCUAAAGGUUCGGAAUAACUGCGGGAAACUGUAGCUAAUACCGGAUGUGUCUGAAAAGAAAAAGAUUUAUCGCCUUUAGAUGAGCCCGCACUAGAUUAGCUAGUUGGUGAGGUAAUUGCUCCACCAAGGCUACGAUCUAUAGCUGAUUUGAGAGGAUGAUCAGCCACACUGGGACUGAGACACGGCCCAGACUCCUACGGGAGGCAGCAGUAGGGAAUAUUGGACAAUGGGGGAAACCCUGAUCCAGCAAUGCCGCGUGAGUGAAGAAGGCCCUCGGGUUGUAAAACUCUUUCAUCAAUGAUGAUAAUGACAUUAGUUGAAGAAGAAGCUCCGGCUAACUUCGUGCCAGCAGCCGCGGUAAUACGAAGGGGGCUAGCGUUGUUCGGAAUCACUGGGCGUAAAGCGUAUGUAGGCGGAUCAAAAAGUUAGAUGUGAAAUCCCUGGGCUCAACCCAGGAACUGCAUUUAAAACUAGUGAUCUAGAAUUUGGUAAGGGUUAGUAGAAUUUCCAGUGUAGAGGUGAAAUUCGUAGAUAUUGGAAAGAAUACCAGAAGCGAAGGCGACUAACUAGGCCAUUUUUGACGCUGAGAUACGAAAGCGUGGGUAGCAAACAGGAUUAGAUACCCUGGUAGUCCACGCAGUAAACGAUGAGUGCUAGUCGCUGGUACAAUAGUAUCAGUGUCGUAGCUAACGCAUUAAGCACUCCGCC